AGUGAACGCUGGCGGUAGGCCUAACACAUGCAAGUCGAACGGCAGCACAGUAAGAGCUUGCUCUUACGGGUGGCGAGUGGCGGACGGGUGAGGAAUACAUCGGAAUCUACUUUUUCGUGGGGGAUAACGUAGGGAAACUUACGCUAAUACCGCAUACGACCUACGGGUGAAAGCAGGGGAGCUUCGGACCUUGCGCGAUUGAAUGAGCCGACGUCGCAUUAGCUAGUUGGCGGGGUAAAGGCACACCAAGGCGACGCGGCGUAGCCGGCCUGAGAGGAGGAUCGGCCACACUGGAACUGAGACACGGUCCAGACUCCUACGGGAGGCAGCAGUCGGGAAUCUUCCGCAAUGGGCGAAAGCCUGACGGAGCAACGCCGCGUGAGUGAUGAAGGUCUUCGGAUCGUAAAACUCUGUUAUUCGGGAAGAACAAAUGUGUAAGUAACUAUGCACGUCUUGACGGUACCUAAUCAGAAAGCCACGGCUAACUACGUG
rnacentral:rRNA from 1 species